CUGUGCUCUCCCUCUGUAGCAGGUCAGAGAACACCAUAUCAGGGCUGGAUCUUUUCCCAUACCUGAGAGAGAGAAUAAUACAUCUUCAUCAUAUGCUGCAUCUUCCCAUCAGCAGAUGAAGAACUCACCGCUGUCGAGUGAUUUGGUUGAUGUAGUGUCUGAGUGCAGAGAAGUACUUGGCGAAUUCCUCGACAGGCGCAUCUUCUAAGGGAAUGACGGGUUUGGAUGGAUACGUGUCCACCAGAGUGGACAUGCAUACCAGCAAGUACACGGCCAGCAUACCCAGAACCAUCGCUGCAUUAGGGCGCAUCUAAACCACACAGAAGCGCAGAGAAACAAACUAGAAAACAAAUGCACUGUGACUGUGCUCCUGUCCUUAUUUCAUAAUGGAGCCAAUAAAAUGCUAUUAUUUUUUA